CCUACGGGUGGCAGCAGUGGGGAAUAUUGGACAAUGGGCGCAAGCCUGAUCCAGCCAUGCCGCGUGAGUGAUGAAGGCCUUAGGGUUGUAAAGCUCUUUUACCCGGGAAGAUAAUGACGGUACCGGGAGAAUAAGCCCCGGCUAACUUCGUGCCAGCAGCCGCGGUAAUACGAAGGGGGCUAGCGUUGUUCGGAAUCACUGGGCGUAAAGCGCACGUAGGCGGAUCUUUAAGUCAGAGGUGAAAGCCUGGAGCUCAACUCCAGAACUGCCUUUGAUACUGGGGAUCUCGAGUCCGGGAGAGGUGAGUGGAACUGCGAGUGUAGAGGUGAAAUUCGUAGAUAUUCGCAAGAACACCAGUGGCGAAGGCGGCUCACUGGCCCGGUACUGACGCUGAGGUGCGAAAGCGUGGGGAGCAAACAGGAUUAGAUACCCUUGUAGUC
rnacentral:rRNA from 1 species